rnacentral:piRNA from 1 species
UAUUGAGAAGGAUCGCCGAUUCUAUGUCA